UUGAGCAUGGACAGCCUGGAUCUGCUGGGUGAAGGGAGAAGUUAUGUCCAGGGUGGGACAGAGAGGAUGGCGAGAGAUUUCCUCACUACUCAGAACAGCGGGAAAUUCAAAACUUAGGGAUUAUUUCUGAAAUUUUCCAUUUAAAAUUGACCAAGUGUAACUGAAACCAGAGAAAGCAAGACUGACGAUAAGGGAGGGGCCUCCUGUACUCCAAGAGCACUGAAUCUGGAAAAACUCAACACAUCGAUGGAGUCAUAUAUUUAAUUUUUUCUUAAAAGCCACCUGUGGGGUAUUGUAGAAACGCUGCGCUGCCUAUCACAGCUUGUGAUGUGACACGUUCAUUCUGCAAGUUUAAACUUCGCCUAGCAAAGAGCUCCUGGGAAGGUGCUGCUGGAUGCAGUUUGCAACCACCUCAACCUCGUGGAAGGUGACUAUUUUGGCCUCGAGUUUCCUGAUCACAAAAAGAUCACGGUACCGGGCAGGGCUGACUUCUUUCAAGUUGUUACCAGGCUUGACUUUUACGAUUUCACUCCAUUCUUACACUAUUGUUUAGGAAUGUAUUCAACUGCAAAAUAAAACCCACCGUUGAUGACUUAAA
rnacentral:sRNA from 1 species